AGUCUUGCAAUGGAGGGAGUUUUGAAGAAUCUUGGGCCACGGAGGUAUGACAACUUCGAGGACUUCCAUUCUUCUAUUCUCAGCAUCCUCAAGUGAGUACCUCUAAUUCAACUACAACUAACAGUAUUAAAGAUUGAGAGAAGAGCUUUGUCAUAAGCUUCCUAAUAAUCCAACUCUACAAUCAAUCAAAAUGGUCUUCUUUAAGUGUUGUUUGGUUGCCCAGAAAAGAAGGGAUUUAUGAUUAUUGUGCAACAUUUUCCAGGCAACCAAACAACAAACCAUCUUUUUGAUACAAGCAUUUCAGGUAGGCAUGUGUUAAUACUGGGAGAAAGAGAGAGAGAGAGAGAGAGAGAGAGAGAGAGAGAGGAGGGGGUAGUCAUUCACCUCUAUCAAACUGUCUUAACUUCGCCUGGUGAACAAAUCUUCCUCAGAACUGCCAACUCUGCGCUGCCUGGUAGACAUUUUGAAGCACCAUCACGUCGGCAAGUAGAGGUCAGUUACCAUUGUCUCUGCAGCAUCAUUUUCCACUCUUCAGAAUAGCUUCCUAACCAUACAUGUUACUCCCAAAAAAAAAAAAAAAGCCAGAAGGCUUUUGCAGAAUGGAAAAGCUCUAGUGAUGACAAAAAGGAGAAAAUAUUCAUGGAGUUGCUUGAGAGCACAAAGCUUGGCGAGAUAGAUAACAUUACCCUGAUAGUAGGCCUGGCAAUACCACCCUUCUCCAUGGUGGCAAAGAGUGCAGGAGAGAAAGCGCCUCCCUUCAAAAUGAUCAAGAAUGUCCCUGACGCCUUGUUUGUGCCCUCAUUCACACUGUUAUCUCUUGUCUCAGUUAAGCUGAUCAGAAAAGUUUUGGAAAAUUUUACAUUAGGAGAAGAAGAAGAAAAAGGAAUAAAUGCCCAUACCUAAUAUCAUUGUUGUGGUUGUGCCCUUGAUCACAUUUUCAUCUCCCAUCCCUGUUAAGCUCCUUGGAAGGAUCCUUGGAAUUCAAGAUCGCUGUUUGUAUUACCCCCAUAUGCAUGAGGACUCUGUUCUUCAUGAUUAUGC
rnacentral:lncRNA from 1 species